UACAGAGGUCCCAAGCGUUGUUCGGAUUCACUGGCGUAAAGGGUGCGUAGGUGGUGAGGUAAGUCGGAUGUGAAAUCUCCGAGCUCAACUCGGAAAUGGCAUUGGAAACUACCUUGCUUGAGGGUUGGAGGGGGGACUGGAAUACUUGGUGUAGCAGUGAAAUGCGUAGAUAUCAAGUGGAACACCAGUGGCGAAGGCGAGUCCCUGGACAACUCCUGACACUGAGGCACGAAAGCUAGGGGAGCAAACAGG
rnacentral:rRNA from 1 species